rnacentral:rRNA from 1 species
UACGAAGGGGGCUAGCGUUGUUCGGAUUUACUGGGCGUAAAGCGCACGUAGGCGGCCAGGUAGGUCCGUUGUGAAAACUCGAGGCUCAACCUCGAGACGUCGGCGGAAACCCUCUGGCUAGAGUCCGGAAGAGGAGAGUGGAAUUCCUGGUGUAGCGGUGAAAUGCGCAGAUAUCAGGAAGAACACCCGUGGCUAAGGCGGCUCUCUAGUACGGUACUGACGCUGAGACGCGAAAGCGUGGGGAGCGAACAGG